rnacentral:tRNA from 1 species
GCCUAUAUAGCUUAGUGGUAGAGCGUUAGUCUUGUAAACAGAAGCUUUAUAGUUAAAUCUUGUAUGGGGGCA